GGCGGAAUGGCCGAGUAGUUAAGGCGACGCGCUGCUAACGCGUUUCGGUUUCCGAGCGCAGGUGCAAAUCCUGCUUCCGUCG